UGGGAUGGGGCGGACCGAUGGGCGGGGUUGACGGGAGAGGGCGGGCGGAGUUCCCGGGAACUGCGCCCCACCCCCCUCCCCGCACCCCUCCUGGCCCUGCCGGCCGGCUGUUGAGUUCCGGGAACACUGAGGCCCCGACUUCGGCGGCUCCAGCAGCGCCUUGCGAACAGUGGAGAAGGCUCGGUGGGUCCCCAGCGCCGGGCAGGCUGGCUGUCCCGUCCCACUGAUUUGGACUCGCUGUGGUUUCUCUGCCCCCCGUCUCUCCACACCGGCGUUUUAAACUGUGUUUUGCUGUCUGGCUGGCGUUUCCUGGGCCUCGAACUUGUGUACCCAGUGUCGUCAUCACUGGGGUGCUUAAAAGCAGAAGACGGAGAUAGGAGUGAGUCAGAGGGAGCGUGAGGCUGGAGGAAGAAUCACAGAUGUGCAUCGUCGCUGACUGGAGAUGGACUAAGGGAGCCAUAAAGCAAGCAGUGCAAGUGGCUUUUAGAAGCUGGAAAAGCCAAGGAAAUUGAGCCCCGCGACAGCCUCCAGACGGGAAGCGAGCCCACCUUCAUUUUAGCCUAUGAGUCCCACAUCAGACUGCAGCAGACCUGUGAGAUGAGAAAGUGUGUUCUUUUAAGCCACUGAGUUGGUGGUGGUUUGUUCUGGCAGCGACUGGAACUUACACAGAUGGACAUCUGAAGGACCGUGGGGAGGCUCUUAGGGAGCUAUAGUGUUGUCCAGGGUUGAGGAGAGCAGGGUGGGUCAACCCAGUUGCCAAAUUGACACACUUACAAUAUCAGAUAACUAGGAUUCAACCAGCCAGGAUGUUUGGAAGACGGGAGCAAGUGGAUUCUUGGACUGCUCUGGAAAGUAUCUGUCCCUGUUCUCUUGUAACACUGGUUGUGUUCUUUAUAUAUUCACAGUACUAAGGUCAGUCUUACUCUCCGAUGAGUCAGGAAAACCAUCAGAUUCUUGGAAGAAAUCAGAGCCUAGCAAUUGAGCCAUUUCCAGCAUAGUUUGGUGACUUUGUGAAAUCUAGUAUUAUAUUCUCAGCAUUAAAAUUUGGGGUGAAAAAAGGUUUAGGGAUAUUUUGGCCUUGUAAUAGUAGGUUGUCAUUAUUUAUGAUGCUAACUGUGUUUCAGCAUCCACUUCCAUAGGCCUCUGGAAAUCAAGCAUGACCAUAGGUUUUAUCCGUAUCACAAAGAAAUGUUUUUAAUCUCAUCCCACUUUUCAGCAACUCUUGUCAGCACUUUUGUCCUUGGCAGCCAGUAAAUCAGGUGGGAAGGGGAAUCUUAGAGACAUUGCCAUUUCUUCCUUCAGCAUCUGAGGGCACGUGCUCUGGGGUGUCAGGAUUUGCUAGUAUUUGGUUUUCACUGUUUCUUUCCACACCCAAUUACAAUUGGGAGGCGCAUCGCUGCCUUCUGACUGUCCCAGAUGUUUAAGAAUCAUUUAGGAGCCCAGCAGUACAUUUCCUUGCUGUUUGUAUAGCUUGAGCUUUUAGUUGUGAAUGGAUUGCACCUUUUCCAGCCCACGUCACAGCCCACAAAAGGAUCAUUGCCUGAAUGAAAGCCAGCUUCCCUUGUACCAUGAGUUCCCACCAGUAAACAGAACAGAAGGCUGUCGAGUUUGCCUACCCUGUUACAUAUUACAUAUACUACAAGAAUGGAUUUGUAUUUUCUCUCUAGUAGUCUGUUCAAUUUUAAAACUAAAUACAUGUUGAAACACUCAAGUGAUAACAAUCACUCUGCUGUAUCAUGUGCUGUUGAUAAGAUGUGACUUCCAACAGAGUAAUUUAAUAAAGAAAUUUUGUCAGUAGCUUGGUUUUUUUUUUUUUUUGGUCACAGCAAUUAAAUUGGGCAUUAAAUUUGGAUUGACAGGUUCUCCGCAAUAUCAAGACUUUUACCCAUUUUAGCUGGGUGAUUCCUUGUUAGCCUGGGCUUCCUCUGUAUCCUUAUCAACAAAGCAGAUUGAUUUGGGCUCUGUUUGAAAAUUGUGUGGAAGUUUAUUUGUUUUUACACCAUUAUAUUUGCUGAGCACCAGCUUAUAUGAACUGAUUAACACAGACCGAACAUAGACGUUAUGGUAAGAAAAUAAACGAUUUUUGUGAAAAUCAUUAUUAAUCUUAAA